GCGGCUGUAGCUCAACUGGACAGAGCGUCUGGCUACGGACCAGAAGGUUAGGGGUUCAAAUCCUCUCAGCCGUA
rnacentral:tRNA from 1 species